rnacentral:rRNA from 1 species
UUGCUUUCUUUGCUGGCGACCGGCGCACGGGUGAGUAACACGUAUCCAACCUGCCCUUUACUCGGGGAUAGCCUUUCGAAAGAAAGAUUAAUACCCGAUAGUAUAAUGAUUCCGCAUGGUUUCAUUAUUAAAGGAUUCCGGUAAAGGAUGGGGAUGCGUUCCAUUAGGUUGUUGGUGAGGUAACGGCUCACCAAGCCUUCGAUGGAUAGGGGGUUCUGAGAGGAAGGUCCCCCACAUUGGAACUGAGACACGGUCCAAACUCCUACGGGAGGCAGCAUG